rnacentral:rRNA from 1 species
CGCGCAGGCGGUUUUAUAAGUCAGAUGUGAAAUCUCCAGGCUUAACCUGGAAAGUGCAUUUGAAACUAUGAGACUUGAGUAUGGCAGAGGGAAGUGGAAUUCCUGGUGUAGAGGUGAAAUUCGUAGAUAUCAGGAGGAACACCGGUGGCGAAGGCGGCUUCCUGGGCCAAUACUGACGCUGAGGCGCGAAGGCGUGGGUAGCAAACA